GAUGAACGCUGGCGGCGUGCUUAACACAUGCAAGUCGAACGAAGCACCUCUCCCGAAGAUUGACACAGCUUGCUGUAGAUUGAUUCAUUUGAGGUGACUGAGUGGCGGACGGGUGAGUAACGCGUGUGUAACCUGCCUCAUAGAGGGGGACAACAGUUGGAAACGACUGCUAAUACCGCAUAGUAAGAAGAAUUCGCAUGUUUUCUUCUUGAAAGAUUUAUCGCUAUGAGAUGGACCCGCGUCUGAUUAGCUAGUUGGUAAGGUAACGGCUUACCAAGGCGACGAUCAGUAGCCGGCUUGAGAGAGUGAACGGCCACAUUGGGACUGAGACACGGCCCAAACUCCUACGGGAGGCAGCAGUGGGGAAUAUUGCACAAUGGGGGAAACCCUGAUGCAGCGACGCCGCGUGAGUGAAGAAGUAUUUCGGUAUGUAAAGCUCUAUCAGCAGGGAAGAUAAUGACGGUACCUGACUAAGAAGCCCCGGCUAACUACGUG
rnacentral:rRNA from 1 species